UACGUAGGGUGCAAGCGUUAAUCGGAAUUACUGGGCGUAAAGCGUGCGCAGGCGGUUUUUUAAGACAGAUGUGAAAUGCCCGGGCUUAACCUGGGAACUGCAUUUGUGACUGCAUGGCUAGAGUUUGGCAGAGGGGGGUAGAAUUCCACGUGUAGCAGUGAAAUGCGUAGAUAUGUGGAGGAACACCGAUGGCGAAGGCAGCCCCCUGGGUCAAGACUGACGCUCAUGCACGAAAGCGUGGGGAGCAAACAGG
rnacentral:rRNA from 1 species